rnacentral:rRNA from 1 species
GCAAUGCCGCGUGCAGGAUGAAGGCCUUCGGGUUGUAAACUGCUUUUGUACGGAACGAAACGGCUCUUUCUAAUAAAGAGAGCUAAUGACGGUACCGUAAGAAUAAGCACCGGCUAACUACGUGCCAGCAGCCGCGGUAAUACGUAGGGUGCGAGCGUUAAUCGGAAUUACUGGGCGUAAAGCGUGCGCAGGCGGUUAUAUAAGACAGAUGUGAAAUCCCCGGGCUCAACCUGGGACCUGCAUUUGUGACUGUAUAGCUAGAGUACGGUAGAGGGGGAUGGAAUUCCGCGUGUAGCAGUGAAAUGCGUAGAUAUGCGGAGGAACACCGAUGGCGAAGGCAAUCCCCUGGACCUGUACUGACGCUCAUGCACGAAAGCGUGGGGAGCAAACAGGAUUAGAUACCCUGGUAGUCCACGCCCUAAACGAUGUCAACUGGUUGUUGGGUCUUCACUGACUCAGUAACGAAGCU